UACGGAGGGUGCAAGCGUUAUCCGGAUUUAUUGGGUUUAAAGGGUCCGUAGGCGGACUUAUAAGUCAGUGGUGAAAGCCUGUCGCUUAACGAUAGAACUGCCAUUGAUACUGUAAGUCUUGAGUAUAUUUGAGGUAGCUGGAAUAAGUAGUGUAGCGGUGAAAUGCAUAAAUAUUACUUAGAACACCAAUUGCGAAGGCAGGUUACCAAGAUAUAACUGACGCUGAGGGACGAAAGCGUGGGGAGCGAACAGGAUUAGAUACCCCCGUAGUCC
rnacentral:rRNA from 1 species